rnacentral:rRNA from 1 species
AUUGAACGCUGGCGGCAGGCCUAACACAUGCAAGUCGCGCGGAGCGGCGGACGGGUGAGUAAUGCCUAGGAAUCUGCCUGGUCGUGGGGGAUAACGUCCGGAAACGGGCGCUAAUACCGCAUACUAUCAGAUCAGCCUAGGUCGGAGUGGCUAGUUGGUGGGGUAAAGGCCUACCAAGGCGACGAUCUCUAGCUGGUCUGAGAGGAUGAUCAGCCACACUGGGACUGAGACACGGCGCAGACUCCUACGGGAGGCAGCAGUGGGGAAUAUUGCACAAUGGGCGCAAGCCUGAUGCAGCCAUGCCGCGUGUAUGAAGAAGGCCUUAGGGUUGUAAAGUACUUUCAGCGGGGAGGCGUUACCCGCAGAAGAAGCACCGGCUAACGCCGUGCCAGCAGCCGCGGUAAUAC